UGGGGAAUUUUGGACAAUGGGCGCAAGCCUGAUCCAGCCAUGCCGCGUGUGGGAAGAAGGCCUUCGGGUUGUAAACCACUUUUGUCAGGGAAGAAACGGCUCUUACUAAUAUUAGGAGCUAAUGACGGUACCUGAAGAAUAAGCACCGGCUAACUACGUGCCAGCAGCCGCGGUAAUACGUAGGGUGCAAGCGUUAAUCGGAAUUACUGGGCGUAAAGCGUGCGCAGGCGGCUAUGCAAGACAGAUGUGAAAUCCCCGGGCUCAACCUGGGAACUGCAUUUGUGACUGCAUGGCUAGAGUACGGUAGAGGGGGAUGGAAUUCCGCGUGUAGCAGUGAAAUGCGUAGAUAUGCGGAGGAACACCGAUGGCGAAGGCAAUCCCCUGGACCUGUACUGACGCUCAUGCACGAAAGCGUGGGGAGCAAACA
rnacentral:rRNA from 1 species